GCUCAAACGAGCUUACAUUAAUACCAGAGUAUGUAAUAUGCUCAAUUCUGUUGUCAUUGAACAAAACAGACAAAUAUUUCCUGACCAUGCCAAAAAUGUUAUUGAAUUGUAAACUAACGUCAGUGAUAAACAUUGGACUUUUUUUAGUAUCUUCCUUGAUUGAUAGAUUAUCCCUCAAAAGAGUUGAUCUAUCGGUAUUUAAGGCACCUUGAAAAGCCUUAUCCAAAAUGUGAUCAGAGUAACCACUAUCACAAAACCAUCACAAUGAAGUGGAAAGCGUGAUAAAGCCAAUAAUAGAUUGGACAAAGAACAAGG